UCCGUAGCCGGUCUCUCAAAUGUCCUGUGAAAUCGUGGGGCUCAACUUCACGGCGUGCAGGGCAGACUGUCAGACUCGGGACCAGGAGAGGCGUUCGGUAUCCAAGGGGAGCGGUAAAAUGUGAUAAUCCUUGGCAGACCACCGAUGGCGAAGGCAGAACGCUAGGAUGGAUCCGACGGCUGAGGGAAUGAAAAGCUAGGGGCGCGAUCCGGAUUAGAUACCCGAGUAGUCCUAGCCGUAAACGCUGCGAGCCAGAUGUUGCGCAAUCCUCGUGAUUGCGCGGUGUCGAAACGAAGGUGUUAAGCUCGGCCACCUGGGGAGUACGGUCGCAAGGCUGAAACUUAAAGGAAUUGGCGGGGGAGCAUUACCCGGGGUGCGGCGUGCGGUUCAAUUGAAUUCAACGCCGGAAACCUCACCAGGGGCGACGGCAGGAUGAUGCUCAGUCUAAAGGGCUUAGCAGACAAGCCGAGAGGUGGUGCAUGGCCGGCGUCAGCUCGUGCCGUGAGGUGUCCUGUUAAGUCAGGCAACGAGCGAGACCUGUAUCUUUAGUUGCCAUCGGGGCCACAAGGCCGACCGGGCACACUACUGAGACUGCCCUGGAAACAGGGAGGAAGGUGCAGGCAACGCCAGGUCUGUACGCCCCGAAUCUCCUGGGCUACACGCGCGCAACAAUGGUGCGGGCAAUGGGAUGCAACACCGAAAGGUGAAGCCAAACCUCGAAACCGCAUCCAAGUCCGGAUUGAGGGCUGCAACCCGCCCUCAUGA
rnacentral:rRNA from 1 species